AACGUAGGACGCAAGCGUUAUCCGGAGUUACUGGGCGUAAAGCGCGGGCAGGCGGCUCGACACGUCUGAUGUGAAAUCUCCUCGCUCAACGGGGAGAGGCCAUUGGAAACGGUCGAGCUGGAGGGCAGUAGAGGUAGGCGGAAUUCCGGGUGGAGUGGUGAAAUGCGUAGAGAUCCGGAGGAACACCAGAGGCGAAGGCGGCCUACUGGGCUGCACCUGACGCUGAGCCGCGAAAGCGUGGGGAGCGAACAGG
rnacentral:rRNA from 1 species